AACGAACGCUGGCGGCAGGCCUAACACAUGCAAGUCGAGCGAGGACUUCGGUCCUAGCGGCGGACGGGUGAGUAACGCGUGGGAACGUGCCCUUUGCUUCGGAAUAGCCCUGGGAAACUGGGAGUAAUACCGGAUGAGCCCUUUGGGGGAAAGAUUUAUCGGCGAAGGAUCGGCCCGCGUUGGAUUAGGUAGUUGGUGGGGUAAUGGCCUGCCAAGCCGACGAUCCAUAGCUGGUUUGAGAGGAUGAUCAGCCACACUGGGACUGAGACACGGCCCAGACUCCUACGGGAGGCAGCAGUGGGGAAUCUUAGACAAUGGGGGAAACCCUGAUCUAGCCAUGCCGCGUGAGCGAUGAAGGCCUUAGGGUUGUAAAGCUCUUUCAGCUGGGAAGAUAAUGACGGUACCAGCAGAAGAAGCCCCGGCUAACUCCGU
rnacentral:rRNA from 1 species